rnacentral:rRNA from 1 species
UACGGGGGGGGCAAGCGUUGUUCGGGAAUUACUGGGCGUAAAGGGCGCGUAGGCGGCCUGCUAAGUCGGAUGUGAAAUCCCUCGGCUCAACCGAGGAACUGCAUCCGAUACUGGCGGGCUUGAAUCCGGGAGAGGGAUGUGGAAUUCCUGGUGUAGCGGUGAAAUGCGCAGAUAUCAGGAGGAACACCGGUGGCGAAGGCGGAUCUCUGGGCCAUUACUGACGCUGAGGAGCGAAAGCGUGGGGAGCGAACAGG